ensembl:snRNA U6 U6 spliceosomal RNA
GUGUUUGCUUGGGCAGCACAUAUACUAAAAUUGGAAUGAUACAGAGAAGAUUAGCAUGGCCCCUGUGCAAGGAUGACAUGCAAAUUCAUGAAGCGAUCCAUAUUUUU